rnacentral:rRNA from 1 species
UAAUGAUAUGCUUGCUUUAAGGACUAAGCCAUGCAUGUUUAAGUUCACGCUUAUUGCCGAAACCGCAUAUGGCUCAUUAUAACAGCUAUGAUUUCUUAGAUACUACUACCUCUACUUGGAUAACUGUAGAAAUUCUAGAGCUAAUACAUGCCAAUUUAUGCUUUAGCCUUAUGGUUAGGGUGGCUAUAUUAGAAUAAAAUCAACCUACCUUCGGGUAGUUUAUUUUGUUGACUCUGGAUAUCUCUCUACCUGAUCGCAUGGCCUUGCGCCGGCGACAGUCAUUCAAGUUGCUGCCCUAUCAACUAGAUGGUGAGAUAAAGUCUUACCAUGGUUAUAACGGGUAACGGGGAAUCAGGGUUCGAUUCCGGAGAGGGAGCCUUAGAAACGGCUACUACAUCUAAGGAAGGCAGCAGGCGCGCAACUUAUUCACUGCUAGUGUUAGUGAAAUAGCCAACAGAGAAUACCGAUGCGGAUCUUUUUAUAAGUUUCUGCAAUCGGCAUGAAUUGAAAUAAUCUUUUUUGAGAUCUAACGGAGGGCAAGUCUGGUGCCAGCAGCCGCGGUAAUUCCAGCUCCGCUAGUAUAUAUUAAAUUUGUUGCAGUUAAAAAGCUCGUAGUUGAAUCCCAGGUUGUGGAGAUCCUAGCUGUCUUAUGAUUGCUUAGGAUAUCCCGCCUUACUAGUCGAUAGCUAUUGCAGGGGCUCUUUAUUGAGUCACUUGUAAUGCACGACAUGUUUACCUUGAAAAAAUUAGAGUGCUCAAAGCAGGCUUUAUAGCUUGAAUAAAUUUGCAUGGAAUAAUGGAACAAGACUCUACUGCUUUUUGUUGAUUUUCUAAGCAUUAUGUAGAGUAAUGAUUAAAAGGGACUGCCGGGGGCAAAAGUAUGGCCGCGCGAGAGGUGAAAUUCUAGGACCGUGGCCAGACUAUCUAUUGCGAAAGCAUUUGCCAAGAAUGCUCUCAUUAAUCAAGAACGAAAGUUAGAGGUUCGAAGACGAUCAGAUACCGUCCCUAGUUCUAACAGUAAACGAUGCCGAUUACUCAUCAGUCUUGUGCCUUUUUGCACUAGAUUGGUACCCUAGGGAAACCGUUAAAUAUGGUUCUGGGGGGAAUAUAAUCGCAAGGAGGAAACUUAAAGGAAUUGACGGAAGGGCACCACCAGGAGUGGAGCCUGCGGCUUAAUUUGACUCAACACGGGAAAACUCACCCGGCCCGGACACUAUAAGGAUUGACAGGCUGACAGCCUUUCAUGAUUUAGUGAAUGGUGGUGCAUGGCCGUUCUUAGUUGGUGGAGUGAUUUGUCUGGUUAAUUCCGAUAACGAACGAGACUCUAGCCUGCUAAAUAGUACACUCAUACCUGGCUUUCCUAACAUAGGUAGUGAGUGUUACUUCUUAGAGGGAUUAGUGGAAUUUGAAGCCACAUGAAAAAGAGCAAUAACAGGUCUGUGAUGCCCUUAGAUGUCCGGGGCGGCACGCGCGCUACAAUGGCUAUAUCAAAAAGGUUCCUUGGCCAAAAGGUCUGGGAAAUCUUUUAAUUAUUGUCGCGUCAGGGAUCAGGGUUUGUAAUUUUCCCCUGUGAACGAGGAAUUCCCAGUAAGCAUACGUCAUCAGCACAUGCUGAUUACGUCCCUGCCCUUUGUACACACCGCCCGUCGCUACUACCGAUUGAAUGGUUUAAUGAGAUUAUUGGACUGGAGGCAUAAGGGACUUCGGUCUCUAAUGUCUUCGGAAAGAUUAUCAAAUUUGAUUAUUUAGAGGAAGUAAAAGUCGUAGGAAGGUUUCCGU